CACUAAGAAGCUAAAUAAGGACCAGCGUUAGCCUUUUAAGCUAAAGAUUGGUGACUACCGACCACCCCUAGUGA
rnacentral:tRNA from 1 species